rnacentral:rRNA from 1 species
UCUGACCUGCCCGUUGGAAAACUGAAAGGCCGCGGUAUUAUGACCGUGCAAAGGUAGCAUAAUCAUUAGUUUUUUAAUUGAAGGCUAGAAUGAAUGGUUGGACAAGAAAUAAUCUGUCUUAAAUUAAUAUAUUGAAUUUAACUUUUAAGUGAAAAGGCUUAAAUGAUCUAAGGGGACGAUAAGACCCUAUAAAACUUUAUAUUUUAAGGUGGAAAAUAAUUUUAUUUUAAAAUUACUAUUUUAAAUUAUUUUGUUGGGGCGACAAGGAUAUAAGAAAGGAUAACUGUCUUUUAUUUUUACAAUAAUAUUUGAAUUAUUGAUCCUAAAAGGGAUUAAAGAUUAAGUUACUUUAGGGAUAACAGCGUAAUUUUCUUUGAGAGUUCUUAUCGACAAGAAAGUUUGCGACCUCGAUGUUGAAUUAAAGGUUCUUUAUAGAGUAGAGACUAUAAGAGAAGGUCUGUUCGACCUUUAAAAUUUUACAUGAUUUGA